rnacentral:rRNA from 1 species
AGGAAUAAAGUCGGGUAUGUAUACCCGUUUGCAUGUACUUUAUGAAUAAGCACCGGCUAACUCCGUGCCAGCAGCCGCGGUAAUACGGAGGAUCCGAGCGUUAUCCGGAUUUAUUGGGUUUAAAGGGAGCGUAGAUGGAUGUUUAAGUCAGUUGUGAAAGUUUGCGGCUCAACCGUAAAAUUGCAGUUGAUACUGGAUAUCUUGAGUGCAGUUGAGGCAGGCGGAAUUCGUGGUGUAGCGGUGAAAUGCUUAGAUAUCACGAAGAACUCCGAUUGCGAAGGCAGCCUGCUAAGCUGCAACUGACAUUGAGGCUCGAAAGUGUGGGUAUCAAACAGGAUUAGAUACCCUGGUAGUCCACACGGUAAACGAUGAAUACUCGCUGUUUGCGAUAUACUGCAAGCGGCCAAGCGAAAGCGUUAAGUAUUCCACCUGGGGAGUACGCCGGCAACGGUGAAACUCAAAGGAAUUGACGGGGGCCCGCACAAGCGGAGGAACAUGUGGUUUAAUUCGAUGAUACGCGAGGAACCUUACCCGGGCUUAAAUUGCAGAUGAAUUACGGUGAAAGCCGUAAGCCGCAAGGCAUCUGUGAAGGUGCUGCAUGGUUGUCGUCAGCUCGUGCCGUGAGGUGUCGGCUUAAGUGCCAUAACGAGCGCAACCCUUGUUGUCAGUUACUAACAGGUUCCGCUGAGGACUCUGACAAGACUGCCAUCGUAAGAUGUGAGGAAGGUGGGGAUGACGUCAAAUCAGCACGGCCCUUACGUCCGGGGCUACACACGUGUUACAAUGGGGGGUACAGAGGGCCGCUACCACGCGAGUGGAUGCCAAUCCCCAAAACCUCUCUCAGUUCGGACUGGAGUCUGCAACCCGACUCCACGAAGCUGGAUUCGCUAGUAAUCGCGCAUCAGCCA